rnacentral:tRNA from 1 species
UCCGCGGUAGCUCAAUGGUAGAGCACUCGGCUGUUAACCGAUUGGUUGGGAGUUCAAGUCUCCCCCGCGGAG